CCUUGAAAUACCACCCUUUAAUGUUUGAUGUUCUAACGUGGACCCGUAAUCCGGGUUGCGGACAGUGUCUGGUGGGUAGUUUGACUGGGGCGGUCUCCUCCUAAAGAGUAACGGAGGAGCACGAAGGUUGGCUAAUCCUGGUCGGACAUCAGGAGGUUAGUGCAAUGGCAUAAGCCAGCUUGACUGCGAGCGUGACGGCGCGAGCAGGUGCGAAAGCAGGUCAUAGUGAUCCGGUGGUUCUGAAUGGAAGGGCCAUCGCUCAACGGAUAAAAGGUACUCCGGGGAUAACAGGCUGAUACCGCCCAAGAGUUCAUAUCGACGGCGGUGUUUGGCACCUCGAUGUCGGCUCAUCACAUCCUGGGGCUGAAGUAGGUCCCAAGGGUAUGGCUGUUCGCCAUUUAAAGUGGUACGCGAGCUGGGUUUAGAACGUCGUGAGACAGUUCGGUCCCUAUCUGCCGUGGGCGCUGGAGAAUUGAGGGGGGCUGCUCCUAGUACGAGAGGACCGGAGUGGACGCAUCACUGGUGUUCAGGUUGUCAUGCCAAUGGCACUGCCCGGUAGCUAAAUGCGGAAGAGAUAAGUGCUGAAAGCAUCUAAGCACGAAACUUGCCCCGAGAUGAGUUCUCCCUGACUCCUUGAGAGUCCUGAAGGAACGUUGAAGACGACGACGUUGAUAGGCCGGGUGUGUAAGCGCAGCGAUGCGUUGAGCUAACCGGUACUAAUGAACCGUGAGGCUUAACCUUACAACGCCGAAG
rnacentral:rRNA from 1 species